rnacentral:lncRNA from 1 species
UUCAAGUUUUAUUGAAGUAUAGUUGAUUUACAAGCUUGUGAUAAUUUCUGCUGUGCAACAAAGUGAUUCGGUUAUACAUAGACACUCUUCCAUUACAAGGAAUCUUUUAAAGAUAAGCCUGGUUGCUCCAGAACAGUCUUCCAUGGAGAGUUUCAUCAUCACAGGCUUGUUGCCUCACGGGUUUGUGGCAUGGAGGUGUACCACUCUGUGUGAUUUGCAAACCCACAAGUUGAGAAUCAACGAGAGAAGUGGCCAUGGGUCAGAGAAACCCAUGAACAUCUGGAAAGAGCAAACACCCAGCCUGGGCCACAGAGAUCUGUCUCUGAAAAUGAGCUCACAAUCCAAUGUUAUAAGACAUUUAAGGAAGUGAUUCACCCUGAACUGGAAUCAGCAAUGAGCAAACAUCAGGAUCAUAACCUGAAGAAAUGCAGAUGUUACAUCUACUCGUUAGGCUUUUAAAAAGUGUAUUAAAAUGAUUAAAAGGGAGUUCCCAUUGUGGCUCAAUGGCUUAUGAACCUGAUUAGUAUCUGUGAGGAUGCGGGUUUGAUUCCAGGCCUUGCUCGGUGGGUUAGGGAUCCGGUGUUGCCAUGAGCCGUGGUGUAGGUUGCAGAUGCAGCUCAGAUCCCACAUUACUGUGGCUGUGGCAUAGGCCAGCAGCUGAAGUAACAAUUUGACCCCUAGCCGGGGAACUUCCAUAUACUACAGGCAUGGCCCUGAAAAGCAAAAAAAGCCCAUGAAAUGAUUAAAAGAAGAAAUAUAAAGGAAUGAGACAUGGAUGGUAUCAAGGAGACAAAUACAACUUCUAGAAAAUUUAAAUUUAAUCAUCUAAAUAAAAAGUCAGUGAGUAUAUUAAACAAUAUUAGAUACAGCUGAAAAGUUAAUGAACUGAAAAAUGGAUCUGAAGAAAGCUAUUUGUAAUGGAACUCAGUUAAAAUUAUAGAUGAUAUGAACUGGAGAUAGACGUAAAGAAUAGACAGAGAUGUCUAAUAUAUAUGUCUAAUACAAGUUCCAAAUGGAAGUAAUAGAGAAUGGAAUUCCCCUUGAAAGAAAAGAUCACAUGAUUUCUUCUUUGCUGUUGCUACACUUCCAUCUAUUCAUUUAGCCAUCCAUGCAUCCAUCUACCUAUUCAUUAAUCCUUUCUGUCCAUGUAUUCACUCAAUAAACAUCUAUUUAGGUAUAUGCUUUGCCUUUUAUAUUGUGUUAUGUGCUUUGUACACGGAAAUAAAAAUCUCAUCCCAUACUUAUAUUUCCAAAAAAUUGCUUAAUAUUGUAUAUCAUCCUUAGACUUAUCAGAAACUCUCGAAGGGAGAAAACUGACAUUUAAUUAGGAUCUCACUUAGGUUAGCAUCUCAAAUCCUGCAGUGUAGUACAAGUACAGAAUAGUAAAAUUAACUAUCUUGAGGGAAAAGGAAAAAAGAGAAGGCCAUUUGUAUAGGUAUAUAAGUGUAUAUAUAACAUAAAUGUAUACAUAACACAGCAAGAAGAACAGGUGCAGCUGGCAUGAGCUGUGGUUGAUGUUGCCUUCAGCAAGUACCUCAGAUGGUUGGAUUUCUUAUCGAAACCUUAAUUCCUGAGGAAUCUGAGCUCUUGGUGUCCAGUCUGUCUUGAAUUGCAGGACUCUUCCAUUAAUCUUUAUCUCUGGAAUUCAUAGAGGCACCUUAGGAUCAACUGAGUUUUUAACCAUACUCCUGCCUGCUCCCAUUCUGUAGCCAUACUUUAUCUCCCCUAAGGAUCCAGGAUCAAACAUAACUUUUUUGCUGUUUUAUUUAGUGUCUCCAGGAGGAGUAAAUGAACUGAUAAUAGGCACCACCUCUAAUUUCGUGGGAUUAUUGUUAAAUCCUUUGUUGGAAUCAUUUCUCCUUUGGAUGUCAAAAACUUGAAGACAGCAGAGUAAAAAGUCAUGGUAAAUAUUUUGUGAAUGAGUCAUUGGGUGUAACUGCAGGAGGUGCCAAUCUCAUUCACCCCUGGUGUUGGGAUUCAUGUCUUCUAGCCAGUCCUCUUCAGAGCAUUUAUCAUACCCUGAAGGACAGCAUUUUAAGCUUUCAAAAUGUUAUAUACUAGCUAACAUGAUAACUGAAUAUUUAAUCAUUAGCAAUUCCCGCACAUCUGAAUGAUGGAGAGACAGAUAUGAUCAGUGAAUUUUUAUUGCACUGACUUAUUUCUUUCUAUAACAAAAGGAGUUUCUUGGCCGGAAGUAAUGUUGGGUGGCAUCCAUGAAGAUGAAGAAGUCAUCCCAUAGGUCCAUGGCUAAUGUUACCUGAGAAGACUGUCCAACAUGGAAGGCCAUUCCGAAUUCAGAAUAAGUAUUUGUUCCAGGGAACGUAGCAGGAUACGGCACAAGAUGGCUUCAUGGUUCAAUUAAGUAUGCUACCAUAUUGGAAGGGAUGGGCUAUUGUUGGCAGACUUGGCAACUGAAUGGGAUUAUAGCUGGUCAGUCAGAGUGAGAAUAAGUCCUUCUUGAUGAGUCUGUGUAUUACUUCUGUCCCUGCCAGUAUGGAUGACUGUUCAGAAUCCCAGUGACCAAGGAUGUGCAGGGUGGAGAAAGGGGCUCACUGAUACCACAGGUUUGCUGAGCUCCCAUUAAUUACUAAGAACCUUCCCUGCAGUAAAGUCAUAAUAAGCAUCAAUAUAAAACACAGAUAUUCUUGUCGUUAGUCCUCUGAUCCUGCCUCUUCUAAGAACUUGACAGCCCAUCCAGCCAAACCAAUAAGGACCUUCUUUUGAGCAACGUGGAUAAAUACGUGCUUGAUGCUCUGCUUACUGGGAAUGUUUCCUUCCUUUAGUUCACUUUUCUUUUGGGCUACCCCAGGCUGGGCUUUCAUAUAGUGGUGAUCUACCUCUGCCUAUUGUCAGCCACACAUUUCUCUUCCAUGUCACCUAGACCUAGGAAACUUCCCAUGAAGCAGUGUGAGCCCACGAAGUGAGCUGAGACAGUAGACCUGCUAGAAAAGGGUUCAAUGUUCUUUUUCAGUUUUUUCCUUAAGGAUCUUCCUAAAGCUAGUCUCUCAUAUACCAGCUUCUUGAUUGUGGAGUACAUUGCUUUCAGCCAAUUUUAGAGAUAGAUACAAUCUGAAAACUCCAAGUUUAUGAUGGUCAACUGAGGUUCCUCAUCACCAGAUGUCCCAUGGUUAGCGGAACUCAGUGGCAAGCAGACUGAUUUUUUUUCUCUCUAAAAACAAUAGUUAGAGGAGUUCCCACUAUGGCACGGUGGAUUACGAAUCCAACUUCAGUGGCUUGGUUUGCUGUGGAGGCAUGUGUUUGAUCUCUGACCUGGUACAGUGGAUUAAAGGAUCUGGCAUUGUGGCAGCUGUGGCAUAGUUCACAGAUGUGGCUUGGAUUUAGUCCCUGGCCCAGAAACUUCCAUAUGCCGUGGAUACAGCCAUAAAAUAUAUUAAAAAUUUUUUUAAUUAAAAAAAUAGUUACGCACCAAGUAGGACAUGGAUUUCUUCUAAAUUCUUGGAGAUCUUCAGUUUGAUUCUUUGGCUGGAAUUUUGCCACAAGCCUAAUACAUUAUCUUAAUCGGCCCAAGGCAUUUAAACUGCAACAGCAUUGAACUGGCUAAGUCUGGGGAUCAAAGGACAAAGCUGUUUGUGGUCCAGCUUAGACAAGAUAAAAACUCUUUUCUUGCUCUGGGCCUUAUUCAAAUCAAGUAGAGUUUCAGAUCACCAUAUAAACAAGUUACCUUAUAAACAGUAUAUAUAGCUUCCAAAAUUCAAAGAUCCCACCAAGAGUUGUAUGUACAUGAAAACACAACUUGUUUUUUAAUAAUUUUUUUAUUAUAGUUGAUUUACAAUGUUCUGUCAAUUUCUGCUAUACAGCAAAGUGACCCAGUUAUACAUAUAUAUACAUAUAUACAUUCUUUUUCUCACUUUAUCCUCCACCAUCUUCAAUCACAAGUGAUUGGAUAUUGUUCCUUAUGCUAUACGGCAGGAUCUCAUUGCUUACCACUCCAAAUGCCAUAGGUUGCAUCUACUAACCCCAAACUCCCAGUGCAACCCAAUUCCUUCACCUCCCUCUUGGCAACCACAAGUAUUUUUUCCAUGUCCAUGAGUUUGUUUCUCUUCUGUAGAUAGGCUCAUUUGUGCCAUAUUUUAGAUUCCAGGUAUAAGUGAUAUCAUAUGGUAUUUGUCUUUAUCUUUCUGACUGACUUACAACUUGUUUUUAGUUUAGGAGGGGAUAUCCUGUCUUGUGCCGGGGGUAUUUGUCCUUUAUCUUUCUGACUUACUUAAAACUUGUUUUUAGUUUUGGAGGGGAUAUCCUGUCUUAUGCUGUGUUGCCAGUCUGCCAAAAACUUCACUGAGCUAUCAGAUCCCUCUGAUUUUGUGAUGCCUCUCUCCCCUCUGCUGUUGUGUCCAUGCCAACUUGGGCCUCUAGGCAGCUUGCUACUUUCUGCUCUUCAGGUUAUAUUAUUGCGAUCAUCAAUAUGUUGGCCCAGUGAGAUAUGUUGUAACUGGGAAAUAGUCAAGCUCCUUAAGAACUAAAUUGUGGCCCAGAGCUGGGAGAUUGAUGUAUCUCAAGGCAAGAUAACAAAGAUGUACUGCUCUCUAUUCCAGAGCAUUCUAAUGGUUUCUGGUAGCGUUUUUUUGUUUUUGUUUUUUCCUUUUUCUGCUUAUGGAGAUUACAAAGAAUAAAGCACUGAGUCAGUACUUGGUUACCAGGUGCCACUAACUCCACUAAUUUAGUCCAUUAAAAAGAGUACAUCUGGAACAGCAUCAUUUAUUGGCAUCAUCAACUAACUGAAGUCAUGAAAAUUUAGUAUCAUUUUCUGAGAAUCAGUGAUAUUUAGCAUUGACUAAACCAGAGAAUUAAAUUGGGCCCAUUAGAAUUACCACCCCACAUUUCCUAGCCUGUAAUGGUAGCAAUCUCUCUCUGCUCCUAGAGGGGCAUUAUUGCUCUUGACUUACUGUUCUGUACAAAAAGAGGGAUACUCAGGCUCCAUAUGGACCUAUUUUUCUAUAGCUCUUACUCUAUGAGUUAGAAAUCUAACGUGAUUAUUUUUCCAGCUACUAAAAUGUAUUAAACACUACAUUCAGGACCUGGGGAAAUAACCAUGGAAUGGGUUGUGUGUCACACAUACCCAAUUGUGAGGGAGUUUUGAAAGAAAAUUAUUUUUGUAACUUAUAAUUCUGGAAGUAUAAUGGAUUGAAUAUUUAUGGUGUGUAUUAUGGAAGAGAUCUUCUUAUUGGGGGAAAAAGCCCAGAUACUUCAUGAAACAUAAGUUUUGAUAUUUUGGGGGUUGAAGAAAUUCAGGGAAAUCUCAGAAGAGGCAGGG